ensembl:lncRNA novel transcript
AGAGAAGGAAUCCUCUGUGGAUGUGUGUCAGUGUUGGACUCUCACCUGUCUACUCUGAGGGCUCUAUGGGAUAUUCCCACAAUCCUUGGAGUGGGCAGUGGUGAGCCAGCCUGAAGAAACAUCAAGUGGAGCCCCAGGAAUAAACCACGAAAUCCCUAAGGAUCCAAAAGGAUACCCAUGAUGAGUCAGGCCUGCCUAGACGGUGUGGGGAUCCAGAGAGAAGACCUUCAAGCAAUGGCCCUGGUAAGCAUUCGGUACUGCUGUCUGCUUCUAGAAAGAGAGAAGAACAGUAACAAAUAGAAUCGAAGCCUGGAAAGUUCAAAAAUUUGCUUUUAGAAGGAUAACUCAAGGAAGCACAGAUGGCAGAGGCUGCAGCUGAAGCAGAGCGCUCUGCUGGCGGGACAGCCAUCGUGUCCAGCACCCAGAGUAAUGGGCCAUUCAGCCUAGUGGAAGGCACAUGAGCUGCUCCAUCAACCUUCCUGCAUACUCACCUACUCAUGUCCCACCUCUUCUAGAAACUGUGACAAAAGGGAGCUAGGUUGAAAUCACUGCUGGAAUCCCGUUUGUAAUGACUUUCACUCUUGGUGUCAGUAGUUUUACUGCUUGGGACUUUUAUUUGUGAAUUACAGUUGAAAGCUGCAUUUUUACCUAUGUCAGGCUUUCAUCUGGCCUUACCAGUCUUUCCUCUGUAGGAUGGCAGUCACUGUUGGAUAUUACACCAUCCUGUCCAGGGCUAGCCACUGUGGUGGUGUGCUGCUUAUAGCUUGCUCUUGUAUUGUAAUAAAAGAUAUCUUUCCCUGUCGUGAUUUGUAAGAAGAACUCAAGGGCAUUGUUACAAAAAUAUUCUCCCUUCAAAAAGAGAAAAGCUAAAAGACUCAUUACUACUCAGACUUCAAUACACCUGUGUGUCAAUCUUAUAUUUCUUUUUUUAUACAAAACUGUAAAAUAUACUUUUAGGUCCAAAAGUAUACUUUUAGUGCUUUGUAAGCAUUGCGUGAAGCCUGAUAUGAUAAUUCCAUGGAAGCAUUGCCUUGGGAAUUUGCUGUCUUUGCUGUAAGCUUGUAGCAUUAAACAAACAUUGUAGUUAAUAGGCUUUCUCUUUGAAACAAUUAUGUGAAAUGUACAGCUGUUCUUGAGGAACUUUGAAGCUAGUUCAUUGAAAAAUGCUCCUUUCCCUUCCCUUGUAAUGCUAUAUUAAUGAAGUAUAAUAAUUACUGGUUUUGUAAUUUUUUUUCUGGUAAUGUUCUUCUCUGACUCUUUAAAAAUGUCCCUUCCCUCCUCCCAAGUUUUAUACUAGACUGUGGUUAGUCUGAUUCUAAAUGUUUUACUUAGUUUAUCCUCAAUAUUCAUGUAUAUAAAUUGAUCCUGGUGAUCCUGUACAUGGCUGUUUGCAAUGCCAGAAUGAUUUCUG